CAGUUGUGAGGAAGGUGGUGUCGGUUAAUAGCGGCAUCAUUUGACGUUAGCAACAGAAGAAGCACCGGCUAACUCCGUGCCAGCAGCCGCGGUAAUACGGAGGGUGCGAGCGUUAAUCGGAAUUACUGGGCGUAAAGCGCAUGCAGGUGGUUUGUUAAGUCAGAUGUGAAAGCCCGGGGCUCGAACCUCGGAACUGCAUUUGAAACUGGCAGACUAGAGUACUGUAGAGGGGGUAGGAAUUUCAGGUGUAGCGGUGAAAUAGCGUAGAGAUCUGAAGGAAUACCGGUGGCGAAGGCGGCCCCCUGGACAGAUACUGACACUCAGAUGCGAAAGCGUGGGGAGCAAACAGGAUUAGAUACCCUGGUAG
rnacentral:rRNA from 1 species